rnacentral:rRNA from 1 species
GACGAACGCUGGCGGCGUGCCUAAUACAUGCAAGUUGAGCGCUGAAGGUUGGUACUUGUACCAACUGGAUGAGCAGCGAACGGGUGAGUAACGCGUGGGGAAUCUGCCUUUGAGCGGGGGACAACAUUUGGAAACGAAUGCUAAUACCGCAUAAAAACUUUAAACACAAGUUUUAAGUUUGAAAGAUGCAAUUGCAUCACUCAAAGAUGAUCCCGCGUUGUAUUAGCUAGUUGGUGAGGUAAAGGCUCACCAAGGCGAUGAUACAUAACCGACCUGAGAGGGUGAUCGGCCACAUUGGGACUGAGACACGGCCCAAACUCCUACGGGAGGCAGCAGUAGGGAAUCUUCGGCAAUGGACGAAAGUCUGACCGAGCAACGCCGCGUGAGUGAAGAAGGUUUUCGGAUCGUAAAACUCUGUUGGUAGAGAAGAACGUUGGUGAGAGUGGAAAGCUCAUCAAGUGACGGUAACUACCCAGAAAGGGACGGCUAACUACGUG